GCCAGACUCCUACGGGAGGCAGCAGUGGGGAAUAUUGCACAAUGGGGGAAACCCUGAUGCAGCAACGCCGCGUGAGUGAAGAAGUCAUUCGUGAUGUAAAGCUCUAUCAGCAGGGAAGAAAAUGACGGUACCUGACUAAGAAGCCCCGGCUAACUACGUGCCAGCAGCCGCGGUAAUACGUAGGGGGCAAGCGUUAUCCGGAUUUACUGGGUGUAAAGGGAGCGUAGACGGCCAGACAAGUCAGAAGUGAAAGCCCAGGGCUCAACCCUGGGACUGCUUUUGAAACUGCCGGGCUGGAGUGCAGGAGAGGUAAGCGGAAUUCCUAGUGUAGCGGUGAAAUGCGUAGAUAUUAGGAGGAACAUCAGUGGCGAAGGCGGCCACCUGGACCGGUAUUGACGCUGAGGCGCGAAAGCGUGGGGAGCAAACAGGAUUAGAUACCCCUGUA
rnacentral:rRNA from 1 species